GAUGAACGCUGGCGGCGUGCCUAAUACAUGCAAGUCGAGCGAACAGACGAGGAGCUUGCUCCUCUGACGUUAGCGGCGGACGGGUGAGUAACACGUGGAUAACCUACCUAUAAGACUGGGAUAACUUCGGGAAACCGGAGCUAAUACCGGAUAAUAUAUUGAACCGCAUGGUUCAAUAGUGAAAGACGGUUUUGCUUUCACUUAUAGAUGGAUCCGCGCCGCAUUAGCUAGUUGGUAAGGUAACGGCUUACCAAGGCGACGAUGCGUAGCCGACCUAAGAGGGUGAUCGGCCACACUGGAACUGAGACACGGUCCAGACUCCUACGGGAGGCAGCAGUAGGGAAUCUUCCGCAAUGGGCGAAAGCCUGACGGAGCAACGCCGCGUGAGUGAUGAAGGUCUUCGGAUCGUAAAACUCUGUUAUUAGGGAAGAACAAAUGUGUAAGUAACUAUGCACGUCUUGACGGUACCUAAUCAGAAAGCCACGGCUAACUACGUG
rnacentral:rRNA from 1 species